rnacentral:rRNA from 1 species
UACGUAGGUGGCGAGCGUUGUCCGGAUUUAUUGGGCGUAAAGCGCGCGCAGGCGGUGCGGUAAGUCCGUCGUGAAAUCUCCCGGCUCAACUGGGAGGGUGCGGUGGAGACUGCCGGACUGGAGGCACUCAGAGGCCGGUGGAAUUCCCGGUGUAGUGGCGAAAUGCGUAGAGAUCGGGAGGAACACCAGUGGCGAAGGCGGCCGGCUGGGGGUGACCUGACGCUGAGGCGCGAAAGCGUGGGGAGCGAACCGG